GACGAACGCUGGCGGUGUGCUUAACACAUGCAAGUCGAACGGUAAGGCCCUUUCGGGGGUACACGAGUGGCGAACGGGUGAGUAACACGUGAGUAACCUGCCCUCAUCUCUGGGAUAACAGUCGGAAACGGUUGCUAAUACUGGAUAUGAGCUUGCAAGGCAUCUUGUGGGUUGGAAAGAUUUUUUUUGGUUGGGGAUGGACUCGCGGCCUAUCAGCUUGUUGGUGAGGUAGUGGCUCACCAAGGCUUCGACGGGUAGCCGGCCUGAGAGGGCGACCGGCCACAUUGGGACUGAGGUACGGCCCAAACUCCUACGGGAGGCAGCAGUGGGGAAUAUUGCACAAUGGACGGAAGUCUGAUGCAGCAACGCCGCGUGCGGGAUGACGGCCUUCGGGUUGUAAACCGCUUUCAAUUGUGACGAAGCUUUUUUGUGACGGUAGCAGUAGAAGAAGCACCGGCUAACUACGUG
rnacentral:rRNA from 1 species